UUUGUACACCCCUACCAAUUUCAUAUCCCCGCCUUUUGUUCACACACCCUUCUUUCUCGGUUCUCACUGCUUUGCUGCCCCAACACCGCCACCUGCGUUUCCUCCUCCUUUCCAUAAGCAAAAGCAACCGCCUCAUCUCCUCCCCUCUCCUGCGCGCACUGCCGCCGUCUCUGGCUCUCCUGCCACUGGCCACCUCAAGGGUUCUUCGUUAAUCUCGAAACUCGUCAGCUUCAAUGGCGAUGCAAGCUGGAUUAGGCGUAUCUCAACUUCUCUUGUUAAUCGGACCUGGUUAUACCGGAAUUGUUCUUAGUAAAAAAACGGCAAUAAUUUGAAUUAUCCGCGAAUUUCACUUAUUUGACAUUUGGAAUCAACAAAAUGGCGUCAUUUGAGAUGGAUGAUAGAAAAAGCUGUGGAUCUUCGAAGUUGUUCCGAUAUUCCAGGUCUUAAGAAAACACAUGAGUGUCGCAGUUCAUACCAAGCUGCCUUACCAGAAAUCUUAGAGGUGAUUAAAUCUGCAUGUACCAGUCAUGGGCUUCCCUUAGCCCAAACCUAGGUUCCAUGCAUCCAACAAGGGAAAGAAGGGUGCCGACACUCUGACGAAAACCUUUCCCGUUGUGUUUCAACAGUUGAUUCAGCUUGCUUUGUUGCAAAUCCUUGUAUGCAAGACUCCACCAGGCUUGCUCGGAGCACCACCUAUUUAAAAGACAAGGUGUUGCCGGGAAGGCAUUUAUGACGAAUCAUGACGAAUCAACCAUGCUUCUCGGGUGAUAUAACAACUUAUUCAAAGACAGAGUAUCCUCUUUCACACUAUGCAAGGAUGUUUGGGUUGUGUGCUUUUGUUGCUUUUCGCCUUAGAUGUAUCUACACUGGUAAUGCCGACUUUGUUCUAGAAUUCUUCCUGCCAACCAAUUGUAGGGAUCCUGAAGAACAGAAGAAAAUUCUUACUUCCCUAUCAAUUAUAAUACAACGACUUUGUAGGAGCUUAAGGGUCGUUAUUGACAAGGAGCUAGACCAAGACACUUUAAUGCUGCAUGAUCCACUACAGACGAAUAGAUGUUAAAGGUGGAAGAUACUGUGUCAGGUUCUUCUCAGGAAGAGUCGUGUGGGACUGCUUUCCAGGGCAGAGAAAGAACUAGCGGUCUCCCAAUUCCUCAAGAAGAUCAACCAAUGGGGUGUCUUGCCAUGGGAAAUGUAAGUUUCUAAGCCAUUCUUGUUGUCUCGCUUUUGUUUUAUUGUCUUAUAACCAUGUUAAUGACAGAGGAUAAUCCAGUCCGCCGACAGUUAGAGAAAGUGACGGAGGUACACUGUAUACGUGUAUGUAUAAUUGUUGUUUGACAGUUGAACUCUGUGAUUCAGUUUAUCAGCUAGGUUUUACGUUUUGAAUGAACAUUUUGCAGCAAAGUAUCUCAUCUGCGAGAAAUUAUUUAGAUAAUGGUGGGAUGUGGAGUGCUAGAGGUAUGGAUGAUAGGGGUGCAUCAAAAUACAGUGUGAGCAUUACCAUAUAUCGUAGUGGAGCUAAAGGAUAUGGAAGACCAAGACCUGCUCCACCUGAUCUCCCUUCCUUGAUUUUCGAUACAAGGAAUGUUUAUCUUGUCAUGCCAGUGGUGUUAUAAAUCACAGACACCUUAGAGUUAUAUCUUGAUCCAGAUUUGUUUGCUUCUGAGUUGAGGCCAGCACAUCAGCAAGACUUCGAACCUCAGCAAUCAUCGCCACUACAUCAUUAAGCUUGUUAACUGCAGACCCAACACCCUGUUUUUCAAGUGGAAAAUGGAUUAAUCAUGUGAAAAAUCUUACAUCUACACGUCAUCUAUUAAGAAGUGAAGUAAUUUGUAAAGAUACAGUCCAGAGUCUGAAGAGUACAUACCACACCAGCAGCCCCUGCAGUAAUGGCCAUAGGAUCUGUAACGGCGCUAAAGCCCGACGAGCACAUGACUGGGAUUGUAACCGCUUGGGAGAUUUAGUAUGCUGCUGCUAAUGUGGGUGUUGCCUGAAAUUAUCGCAACUUGCAUUUAGUUAUGGUCAUUAUUUUUGUUGCACUGCAAGUUUUAAAUGAUAGGUUAUUCAUACCUUCUCAAUUAAAGCCAGAACCCCAGGCUUCGAAGGGGUUGAGUAUUUCCCCCCUUCUGUUUGGAUAACAUCAGCGACAGUUACUGAGGACAAAAAAAAAUUCAGUCUUAUUUGUAUUAUGAAUAUAAUUUUAAUAAGAAAGAGUACAUUUAUUUA